CUGGACCUCUGGCUUUGUUUUCUAGCCCCUCAAGGUUAGGAGCCUAGCAGGUGUCUUAAACUGUUUUCUGUUGCGAUAAUAGAAUACCUGAGAGUGGGUAACUUAUUAAAAAGAGUUUUAUUUAGCACUUGGUUCUGUUGGCUGGGAAAUUCAGGAUCAGGCAGCUGUAUCUGGUGGGUUCUCAUGACUGCCUCAUGCUGCAUCAAAACAUCGUAGAGAAACAGAAGGGGACCGAGUUUGUGCAAACAAAAAGCGCAAAAUAGAAGAGGCAGCACUGUUUUAUAACAACUCACUCUCUUGGGAACUAACCAUUCCCAGGAGAACCCAGUCUCAGUGUCAAGAGAAAGAUGUUAAUCCAUCUUAGCAACCUAAUUACCUCUUAAAAGCAGCAUCUCCCAACACUAUUACAUUGGCAAUUGAACUACAACGUGAGUUUUGGAGGGGCCAAACAACAUCCAAACCAUAGCAGCAGGUUUAAAGGUAAAAGGAUGGGAGAAAAGUACACAGAAAGAUAUUCUGGAGAAAAGGCACAGAGUGAGCCAAGGCACAAGGUAAAAUGUUUGACUGGUUAGAGACGCUAGAUUAUUUUGUGUGGCUAAGACAAAACAAAGCUGGUGGGGAGUGGCAGGAGGUAAGUCUAGAAUGGCACAAUGGGGCCAGACUGCGAAUGGCAAACUGAAGUAUGUGAUCUUUUAUUCUAAAGAAAAUGUAGUAUGAUUAGCACAAAAAAAAGAAAAAUUAUUGGCCGGGCGCAGUGGCCCAUGCCUGUAAUCCCAGCACUUUGGGAGGCCGAGGAGGGUGGAUCAUGAGGUCAGGAGUUCAAGACGGUGAAACUCCAUCUCUACUAAAAACACAAAAAUUAGCCAGGAGCUGUGGCAGGUGCCUGUAAUCCCAGCUACUCAGUAGGCUGAGGCAGGAGAAUCACUUGAACCCGGGAGGUGGAGGUUGCAGUGAGCUGAGAUCGCGCCACUGCACUCUAGCCUGGGCGACAGAGCAAGACUAAAAAUAAAAAUGAAAAAAUUAUUAUCCAUGGUAUUAUCAUGGUAGUACUGACUAAAAGAGGGACACGUGUAACAAAAUCAGUAAGGAGGGUACUCCAAGAAUCCAUGUUAAAGUUAAUGAGGGCUCGAACCCAAACAUAAAGGAUGGAAAUGAUGUAAUAAAAUACCUUUUGAAAGUUAUAUUUAAAAAUUUUUGGUGAAUAGUCUAGUUAGAGGUGAAAGAAGAAAGCAGAGGAGUCUAAUGCAAUGCGUGACUUGUAGCUCAGGUAAAGGGGUGGCAGGUGACGCUUAAAUACUAGAAAUAUAAGAAGCAGCACAGGUUUGGUUUUAUCUGUGAGAACAAUGGAGUGGAGGUAUGCUUUAGAUGCAAUUAUUUAUGGGAUAUUCAAAACAGAUAUCUAUGAAGCAAAAAACUUGGGCCCAAAAAACAAGUUUGAAGGUAUAUUUGGGAGUUACCAGUAAUAUAGGUAACUGUUGAAGCUCUAAAUAUAGAAGACAAACUAGAGGAGCUUGUUUCUUGAAGAAUUCUUGUCACACUUGACAUUUUUUACAGAGAUUUCUUAAAACAGGGGCAUAUCUUCUUUGGCUAACAUAUGCAGACUAAAAUGAAAGAGUAUAGUAUAUUAUAAAAUCAAUAAAAGGUAAGAUAAAUUGAGGCCUAAAAAUAAAGAAUAAAUACACUCAGUUGAUUCUGAAGCUCUAAUUUACAGAUGCAAAAUUGUACCAGUACAUUAACUCAUAUGUCAAAACAACAUCUAGAGAAACAAAAAAUGAAAGUAAAAUGGAAAAAGAUAAAAGAAGAGAGGCAAGGAGAAGAGAAUGGGCAAAAGGAGAUAGGAAAAACAGGAAUUUUUUUUUAAAGGGCUAAAAUUUUAGUGAAUCAGAUGUGGAAAACAGUUGGAUUAACAUUGAGAUCAAAUGAGAAAGGAGCAAAUAAGGAAAGAUGUAUUACAAACCAAGAGUAAAAAAGGGAAAACAAAAUAACAAAAGCAAAAACUAUUUAAAAAGAAUAAAGGAAGACGUGAUAAUGAAGUAAAUUUAAAAAGUACGGAAUAAUAAAAAGAAAUUGCAAAAAAUACCUUUUGAAAAUAAACAUACUAAUAACUUGACAAUAAAGUGAAAUGUGUAAGACAAACAUAUCUGUGUCAUUAUUUAGGAGUAGUGAAAAGUACUCUUAAAUAAUAAUUUGGUAUCUAGCAGGCCUGGAUUUGAAUCUACUUUAACUUGCUAGCUAUGUGACCUUGGGCAAGCAAAGAAACUCCUCAUAACCAUUGUAAUAAUACCACCAAAAUGCCUUACACUUACGGCUCAAAAAAUGAAGGAAAUGAGAGAAAAAAGUAUAGAUUACUAUAUGGAAGUCAAAUUUCUAGUGACUUUUCUAAUCCAAACAUGAAUUGUUACAGUACUUGAAAUAAACUUUAUGAGAACUGAGUGACUACAUUGCUUCAGAUAGUUUUAUACUGCUAGGUCAACGCUGCCUGACAGUAAUAAGAACAGGAUGUGGGAUUCAAUAUGCUCAUUCUAUCUCAAACUCUGUCACACAUACAAUGACUGCUAUUUACCUUCCUCCUGAGCCAUCUGGGAAAAAACCAACCAACCAAACAAACAAACAAAAGAAAAACCCACCAGGUAGGAGUCAGUUAGUUCUGCUAACUAACUAACCAAAAACCUUAAUUGUAUGGCCACCAGCACCCUAGCCCUUUGUCAUGAAAGCUACCAAUAAGGUGGAAAUUUAAAAUAUGAAAUAUUUCAUUAUACAUGUUUUAUUAAACCCUACAUGUGCAGAAAUGAUUGUCCAUUUUCCUUCUUAACUUGCUUUUGUAAGACUUAUUAAGUAGAAAAUAUAAAUCUCAAGCUCCUUAAAUGUGAUUUUGAGGAACUGAGACCAAAACAAUUUUUUGCUGUGGAACCAGAUCCUUGAAUGCACUACAGGAAAAUAUUAUUUGAUAUGAAAUUUUUUUGUAGUUCUAUGUCUUUACUUCCUAGUGGUUUACACACUCUUUAACCCAUAUGGCAAUCUGGCUUCUGUCUCCGGUGCUCUGGAAUUACUUCUGCCUGUAUGAUUAAGUUCCUCAUUGUUAAAUUCGAAAAUACAUUCUUUGGUAUUUAUUUGACCUCUUGGUGGUAAUAUAGUGUAAGAGCACAGACUCUGGAGCCAAACUGCCUAGGUUCAAAUCUUAGCUCUAUUACUUUCUAACUCUGUGACUUUGGGCAAAUGACUUAACUCUCUCAUGCCUCAAAGCAGAAUCCUUUGUAAGGUUUAUUUAUAUAGUGGUGUAAAGAGUACUUACUUCAAAAGCUUUGGUCAGUGUGAGAAAUAAGCUCCUAACAAAGAAAGUGUUAUGUAAUAGUUAUUAUCUGGUACCUCUGAUCACAUCAUUUUUGAAAAUCACUUGAAAUCUGCCUAAGUUUCAUUCUGCCUUUGAUGGCUCCUUAUUUUCAUCUCCCUACUUCAGGCUUCCUCCCUAAUAUAUCUUUUAUGCCAAUAUUAUGAUCACUUGAAACUAUAAAUCUGAUGCCAUCCUUGGCCACUACCAUUAAGAUGGUCUAAACUCCUCAGCAUGAUAGACAAGUCCCUUUAUGAUAGUGUACCCAUCUAGUUCUCAUUCCUCAAGUCUCCUCUGUUGUCUAUGCUUACCCUAUGGGCUAAGCUGAAUCAAGCUGUUACAUUUCCAAAACAUGCCUCACUGUCUUUAUUCAUGCCUUUGCACAUGCCAUUGACUCUUCCUAGAAUGCCCCAUUCUCCUUCUCUAGAAAGUCUUCUCUUAACAUACUUCUUCCCAAAAUAAAUUAGGUGUCCUUUCUUAAUAUGCCUCCAAUAACCCCAUACAGUAUUUAUCCCAUUCUAUUUUAGAUGCCAGUUUGGUUGAUGAUACAUUUCAUCUAGUCAGAUCUUCCCACUGCCUCUUAUAAAGAAAACCAGGAGCCAUAUUAUGAUAUUCUUGUUCUCUAAUUUUUCUGCUGCCCUGAUCUUAAACCACUUUCUUCUCCCUUUGUUGACAAUUACCCCACCCCUUAUUUCUUAAUUAGCUCAACAAGAUUAGAUAGAAAUGUAUCUACAAAGGAUAUAUGUAUAUAAAUUAACUAGAUAACAAAACUUCACACUGAAGUGAACAUUCUACAAGUAUUUCUUUCAUUGCUGACCAUUAGGUUGCAGCAUGCAACUCUCAACAAUGAGCUGCCCCUCUCCACUCCUAUAGAAGCUCCAAAUACUAUGGUACCACUAUGUAGGUUUUCAGCCUUUCAAAGGCUUUUAUUAUGAACUUCAUCAUUACUUCAGCAGGAGCCUUUUAGGGACUUAAAAGCACUGAUUAUCUAUAAAAAGUAACUUCAUAUUUCAUGCACAAAAUUCCCAAUUGGCAGAUUUAGGUCCAUAAAAGAAAGGAAAAAAAUUAUUCUAGCUAUAUAAAUUAUCAGGAAUAAAAUAGCAUUUCUCCUUGCCUUGUUAUAAGGAAAUAAUAUAUUUUUCCUUACCAGGAAUCAGGAUAGUAUCUUUGAUGAUCCCUCAGGGUUAUAAAAUUGCUUACUGGUUAAAGUUUUUUGCCAAAGAUAUUAAGAAAUAAAAAGUUCGCUCAUUUUCCUGUGCAAUUUAAAGAAAUAUUUGCAGUAUGUACAGGAAUUUUAAGUUAUAUUGCAGACCCUGGCAAUAAUAUUUAAAAGGCCUAUUUUCCCCAUUAAAAAAUUUACCCCAUUAAAAAAGGUAAAAGGAAAUCUCCAUCAUCCCUGAGCAGAAAAGGAAAAAAUCAUGGGUACUUUAAUUAGUUAAUAGAAACCACUGUAAAUGAGUUAUCUAUCUCCAGAACAUUCUCAGAGAAUUUACACGAACUAAAACAGGAAUGAAGUGCUCUCAGAGACUUUUUCUCAGGUAAAUGUAUUUAGUAGUUUGAGUAGUUGAUCUGCAGAAACUUUAACUUUAAUUAACUACAUAGAUGAAUAUUUUUUAUUUUGAAAUUUGAGAAUGUCCUAAGAGGAUGUCUACAGGAUAUGAAACUACUGGGUGCAGGAAAAUUUUUUAAGUGUUAGCAAAUUGUGGCAAG
rnacentral:lncRNA from 10 species